UACGAAGGGGGCUAGCGUUGCUCGGAAUCACUGGGCGUAAAGCGCACGUAGGCGGCUUUUUAAGUCAGGGGUGAAAUCCUGGAGCUCAACUCCAGAACUGCCUUUGAUACUGGGAAGCUUGAGUCCGGGAGAGGUGAGUGGAACUGCGAGUGUAGAGGUGAAAUUCGUAGAUAUUCGCAAGAACACCAGUGGCGAAGGCGGCUCACUGGCCCGAUACUGACGCUGAGGUGCGAAAGCGUGGGGAGCAAACAGG
rnacentral:rRNA from 1 species